GAUGAACGCUAGCGGCAGGCCUAAUACAUGCAAGUCGGACGGGAUUCAGGAGCUUGCUUCUGAUGAGAGUGGCGCACGGGUGCGUAACACGUAUGUAACCUACCUUUAUCAGGGGGAUAGCCUCUCGAAAGAGAGAUUAAGCCCGCAUAAAAUCACAGCACAGCAUUGUGUAAUGAUCAAAUAUUUAUAGGAUAAAGAUGGGCAUGCGGAACAUUAGCUAGAUGGCGGGGUAACGGCCCACCAUGGCGACGAUGUUUAGGGGAUCUGAGAGGAUGGCCCCCCACACUGGGACUGAGACACGGACCAGACUCCUACGGGAGGCAGGAGUAAGGGAUAUUGGUCCAUGGGCGGAAGCCUGAACCAGCCAUGCCGCGUGCAGGAAGGCGGCCCUACGGGUUGUAAACUGCUUUUAUACGGGAAUAAACCCAGAUACGUGUAUCUGGCUGAAUGUACUGUAAGAAUAAGGAUCGGCUAACUCCGUG
rnacentral:rRNA from 1 species